UAGAUACACCCCAUAUUUUGUUGGACAAGAUCAAGCUUUUCUCUUUUCGGUGGUUAAAGUCGACGAAUGUUACGUUAGCUUAUAACUACCAUAGCUGGUGGUCUAGUCCUAUGAUUUGUUUGGGCUUUGUAUGAUUAUUUUUGAUUCUUUUUCUAUGACUUUUUGUAAUCUUUUGUAGUCUACCUUGCCACGUCUUGUGCUGGGGAGGCUGUUG
rnacentral:lncRNA from 1 species